GCCCGGGUGGCGCAAUUGGUACCCGCGCAGCCUUGAGGUGGCUGUGGCCGUAAGGCCGUGGAGGUUCAAGUCCUCUCCCGGGCA
rnacentral:tRNA from 1 species